UUUGACAUGUCUUUAUUCUUUCUGAACUUUUUUGAGGGUAAUGUUUACUGUUAUUUUUUGUUUAUUAUCUAUUUCACUUGCUUGUGCAAUUUAAACAUAUGUUUCCCAUGCCAAUAAAGCCCCUUAAAUUGAAAUUCAAUUGGAAGCGAGGUACUACACUCGCUGUUUUCCCCCAGCUUUUUUCUAGUUUAAUGAACGUCAACUAACUAUGUAGACCAGACCCAGCUGCUAUUGCAUUGAUGUCUAAGGGAGACACACCCAGUUAAGUAGACUGAAACUGUCAACGCUAAAAGGCCUGCGUGAACUCUCUUAAAUUUAUCCACCAUCUUUGGUGGAUGUCUUAAACAAGUCUGCUAACGUUACUAGCUAGCGGUCACUCUACUGUGUGACUAACUAAUACUGUAACUAGCUACAUUUUUUGAAACUAUUAUCUAACUGUGUCGGAGUUGAGAAACUAAUAGUACACCCAACAAUUUCAAAGAAGCUAACGGUAGCUAGCUAAGGUAUAGAGAUAAGUAUUUAGUAAUAGUAAGUUAGCUACCGUACCAUACUCAGAAGAUAGCUAACGUUAGCUAGCUCGCGUUAAGAUAGCUAGAAACAAGACGAGGAAGCGCUAGCUAACAUAGCAUAGAUAGCUAUCAAGCAGCCUGGGUUUGAAUUAAAUGCUCCCCAGAAUAGCUGGUAUAUAGGCUAAUGAUAAAUUGCAAGCCAUCUAGUUACCUUUACCUAGGUGCGCUAAUAGCUAAUUCCUUGAUUAAAGUAAGUUAACUAGAUAAUUUCACUAACUGAGACAGGAAGGAAGACAUUCACAGGUAAAUUAGGAAACAUGGACAAUACAUCAAGUGGACCCAGUAAGGGUGGAGCAUCGCCUGAAUAUCCAAACACUGAGUUCGGCGUAAAUUGUUUCUCAACGUGAUAUGGAAAGACUGCAAUUCAAUUCGACCUAUGGCCAUGAGCAUCAGCUGACUAUUUUCUGUGUGUUUUUCUCUCCUCACGCAGUGGCUGGGAUGAGCCCCCUCUCACCGUAUCUUAAUGUGGAUCCAAUAUAUUUUACACAUGCUCCUAAAUCUGGUAACCCUCCAAGGAGCGACAUGGGCAAACACACUUGGCUCACUGGCUUUGAUGUACAGUGCGUUUGGGGGUGGCCAUCGAGAAGGCACGGUUAGCAGAGGAUGACAUCAACACUGUUGCUGCUGGGAUUAUGACAGGCAUGCUGUACACAGGCUGGUAGAGAUUCCACCUAAAACUCCACCCAGAUGUCUGCAUGUGAUUGAAAGAGGUUGUUGCAGACACCACUUCCUGGUUAGACUGAUGACGGUUUUUGUUAUCAUCUAGACAGGACAACCCUCUGCUGCCUACAUUUCCCAGCAUGCGUCGCUCCAAAUUCACAAGGGGAAGUUUUUUGAAAGCUCGCACAGGACUACACUGCUAUAUCACUGGGAGGGAGGGGCGUGGGUACAACAUCAGCCAAAGGGGUUUAAGGACACCCAACUAAAUAUACAACCGUGGGAUCAACAACAGGUUUCAGCUUUAGAGUUCAUGUACUGUUAAGGUUGUCACAUGAACACUACUCCUCUGUCCGAGUUGACCACCGUGGGUUUUCUUUGCCAGACAACUAUUAUUUCUGGUCUGAACAUGCUUGAAACUCAUCAAACAGACAUGCUGUCUGUCACAUUUUAAACGUUAGACUUGCAUGUAGUCUCUGUAAAAUCUUUCCCUUUCUGACUUUUUAUGGUACAAAACAAAGUCUAGUUAUGAAUGACUCUUGUUUAUACUCUCUCCAUCUGUGUUAAAGCCCUGCUGUAAUAAAAACAUAAAAAAAGUGGUUUAAUCACAUUGAA